AGUGGAUGGGGAGCAACCUAGUUGUGCGUGUGUAAAGGUAGUGCCAAGAAAAGCGAUGAUCAUGUUGAAAAUCAAUUCCCGGUACCCGAAACCGACACAGGUGGGCAAGUAGAGAAUACUAAGGGGCGCGAGGUAACUCUCUCCAAGGAACUCGGCAAAAUGACCCCGUAACUUAGGGAGAAGGGGUGCCACCGAGAGGUGGUCGCAGUGAAGAGGCCCAGGCGACUGUUUAGCAAAAACAUAGGUCUCUGCAAACUCGAAAGAGGAGGUAUAGGGGCUGACGCCUGCCCAGUGCCGGAAGGUUAAAGAAGUUGGUCAGUCUUAGGAUGAAGCUAGCGACUGAAGCCCCGGUGAACGGCGGCCGUAACUAUAACGGUCCUAAGGUAGCGAAAUUCCUUGUCGGGUAAGUUCCGACCCGCACGAAAGGCGUAACGAUCUGGGCGCUGUCUCGGAGAGAGGCUCGGCGAAAUAGGAUUGUCUGUGAAGAUACGGACUACCUGCAUUUGGACAGAAAGACCCUAUGAAGCUUUACUAUAGCUUGGAAUUGUGUUCGGGCUUCCUGUGCGCAGGAUAGGUGGGAGGCGUAGAAGGUAUUCUUGUGGGGAUACUGGAGCCAACGGUGAGAUACCACUCUCAGGAGGCUAGAAUUCUAACUUAAUUAAGGACAGUUUCAGGUGGGUAGUUUGACUGGGGCGGUCGCCUCCAAAAAGGUAACGGAGGCGUACAAAGGUUCCCUCAGACUGGUUGGAAAUCAGUCGAAGAGUGCAAAGGCAGAAGGGAGCUUGACUGCGAGAAGUACAGUUCGAGCAGGGUGGAAACACGGUCUUAGUGAUCCGACGGUGCUGUGUGGAAGGGCCGUCGCUCAACGGAUAAAAGUUACUCUAGGAUAACAGGCUGAUCUCCCCCAAGAGUUCACAUCGACGGGGAGGUUUGGCACCUCGAUGUCGGCUCAUCGCAACCUGGGGCGGAAGUACGUCCCAAGGGUUGGGCUGUUCGCCCAUUAAAGCGGUACGUGAGCUGGGUUCAGAACGUCGUGAGACAGUUCGGUCCAUAUCCGAUGUAGGCGUGAGAAUAUUGAGAGGAGCCUUCCUUAGUACGAGAGGACCGGGAAGGACGCACCGCUGGUGUACCUGUUAUGAUGCCAAUUGUAAACGCAGGGUAGCCAAGUGCGUAGAGGAUAACCGCUGAAAGCAUCUAAGUGGGAAGCCCACCUCAAGAUGAGUAUUCUGGUGUAAGGUCACGGGAAGACGACCCGUAAAUAGGCACGAGUUGGAAGUGCAGAGAUGUAUGAAGCCGAAGUGUACUAAUAGACCGUCGGCUUGAC
rnacentral:rRNA from 1 species